CGGUCUCUUUCUUGAGAGGAACAAGCAGUCAGGUCAGGUCCCUUGGUCAAAUGUGUGGGUGGAAAAGAUAUGGUGGGGCUGCCGAGAAAGAAGGGAAUCCCCUGCCCCCAGUCAGUGGAAGGACUUGUGGUUGCUCCCAGACUCGGAGAGGUGCCCCAAAUGCCUCAUAGGCGCCCUGACCUACAAAAAGCAGAAGGGGAACAGCAAUUUGUGGUUGUUCAUUUGCCAUUUAUUGUUCUGCACAUACACCUCAUGAGCACCAGGUGGCGAUGUCCUCUCACAGAGCAACACCAAGGACUUCACAACACAUCGGUUAGUUUUUACAUUAGGGCAUUCACCUUCCCUCUCCCAGAAAACCCCCACGCAAAUGCCAGUGACCACGGACAAGGAUAGGGGACAGGCCCCUUCCUGUACCACGCGGGGUCUCCUCCCUCCCCUCUCAUGCACACGACAGUGCAAUACCAGGACAAGUACUUUUGACCAAGUGUAAAACCACAGAGAAAGUCCAAGUUCUACAAAAGGGCAGGAGAAAGGGUAUGAAACACAAAGGCACGCACAACCACAUAUACACAAUUGACCUCUAAGGGACAGGCAUCUGACAGAGUUUGUCUGCAAUCCCAUUUGUCAUCCCUGGAGACUCAGGAAGGGGAAAACCAGGCAGCUGGUGGUCCGGCCAUGACAGGCAAGGCAUGGGGUUCCCUGUGCAACCCAGGGAACAGAGCAGGAACAACACUGGUGGGGAAACGUCCCGUGUCCCAGGGAUCGGUGCUCAGUACCUCCACUGGCAGGGUGCUCACUGCGCCUGAGACCGUGCCUUUCUAGGCUGGCACAAAGGGCAAAGGGCUGCCUCCCCCCUGCCCCCCGCCUUGCUUGGCACAGCGUUAAAAGGAAAUUCAAGAUCCUUCUGCCCAGAAAGUCCCACCGAAGGGCAGCACAAGGAGGAGGUACCCCCUGCUGAGCAUCCUCAGGGAGGAAAAGAAUGGGGGGUACAGACACGGUCGGCAUCCUAGGGGUAAGGUCUUGAAGGUAUUAAGACUUACCCUCGAAGUGGUAUUACCCCUGGCACACCGCCUGCCUUCCUAUCCAUUCUCUGAGUCCCCUUCCUUCUUUUCUUGGCUGUCCCCUUCCCCACCCAUACCUUCUGCCCGAGGCAGGGAAAUCAGCCUGUCCCCGCUGCCAUGGCCAGUUGUCAAACCUCAUUUGCCUUCUUUCCCCACCUCCUGCUCCAGAGCUGUGUGUUUCUACCCACUGAAACUGUGUGUUUCCUCAUCCCUGUGGGUGAGAAGCUCGGCAGACACUUGACCCAGGUGCUGAAGGGCAGAGAUGGUACUAGGGGUGCAGUGAGGCUGUUCGAUGACCUCUGGGACAGGGUGGCCUGGCAAAGGGCACGGUUCGGGGGGGAGCGGAUAUUAAAUGCCUCAGCCAUGUCUCUUCCGUUGAGUUCAAGUGUUUCCUCCUGACUGGCAGGAAACUGUGCCCUGUGGUGCAGUGGACUCAGGCCCAAUCUCCUGGUCCGCUGGUGAGAGAAGAUGGUGGCCGGCUGACCUGAGAGCUGAGUUGUCAGGAAGUAUUCCUCUCGUCAGAGCUCCCUCUGCUGGAGCCAGUCAGCAACCCGACAGCCAUUCAGAGAAUAAGGAAAGGCCCAGCACCAGUACCUCCCAAGGAACUGGGCGACACUCAGGUGCAUCCACUGGCCACACCAAUGUCAAAAUGGCUUCAGGCAAACAGCAAGCGGCCACGGAGCCAGCUCUCAGGAAAGCCUGGCUUCAGGUUCUAACUUAAGUACCAUUUUUGAAGGUUCUUUUGUUUCCAUUUUUCUAGCAUCAAAAACCUUCCAAAUAUUAUGAAAUAUAUAUGGAUAUAUAUACGUCAAACCCCCAAAACAUGAGGUAUAUAAAUUCAAAUUAGUAUCCAGAGGAACUUCCCCCAAACACAUAGUUCAAAGAACCCACUUUCAAAGGGGGAAUUGGGUUUCCUUUCUUGAUCCCCCUUCUCUUCUCCCUGACCCCCAAUUCAUUCCUUAAGGGAAGUGAAAAGCAAGAGGAAUAUUGGGGAGGGGACAGACAGAGUCUUGGGACACAACCCAAAUGCAGGUUGGACUAGACCAUGAUGUGGUCCCAACCCUGUUGGGAAUGAGCUAAAAAGUCUGCCUCCAUGCUCUAGGUCAAUCUGUAAUAGAUGAGGGGCCCAGCCCCCUCUGGGCUCUGAUUAGCAAGCGUGCAUGGAGACAGAUCGAAGCCCUCAUAAAAACAUGACCGGAUAGACUGGUUUAGAUACGGUCUUGAAAGAGAUAUAAAAAGGGGUCAGUCCAGUCCUCACCUGACACAUCUCCCCAAGCACUGUUCCCUGGGGGCAUCUAGAAAGAUGCAUGAUUGUUACCAUUUGGGUCCAAGUUUACUGUGGAAAUGGGUUGGCAAAGGGUGAAGAAAGUCAAGGAACCACAGCCUGGCUGUUUGAGCCCCAUCAGAGCUGGAGUUUGACAGUUUGCAAAACAGAAUGGGAGAACAGGAUGGGACUGUCCACCAACCUGGCCCAGUGGUGCACACUCGAGCACACACACACACAUAUGAGCAUACAUAGAUGGCACAGAACCCAGCCUGGGCUCUACUCACAGUGACUUGAUGAAACUCAUGGAAUCUUUGAGCUGGUCUGGGAUGAGUUGGGAAGAAGGCUAUGGGCUCCUCUCCCUGAGGACAGUUCAGAUGCUAAGUGGGAUGCAGACUCUGGUCUGAUCAGAGAGGGGCUGGAAACAUCAUGGGAUGCCAACCCAGAGAGGAAUCCCAGAGUCCGUCCAUCCACACAAGAGAACCAGAUGCCUCUUUGGACAGGUCGAAGAUGUGAGGAGGGAGGGCCCAGAGAGGCCAAGGACUAUUCUGAGAGCCGAGUGUGCUCCCAGAAGCCUUUGCUUCUCUGACCCUCUUGGUGAGAAGUGCUUCCUCGCUGAACACCGAGGCAUCGACAUCUGAUGUCACAGCAAUUUAGCGGUUCACCCCUUUGCCCCCCAAUCUUGCACAGUGAGAGCUCCUCGCCUCCAGAGGAGGAGAGAAAAGCAGAAACUCCGCUCUCAAAGCAGAGUGGAAGCAGCAAGAAGCCAGCUGAGGCAUUGAACCUCAGGCUUCACAAGGCCAAGAUGACGGUGUCUGACUCGCCGGUGGUGCUGGAGGUACCGAUGGCAAAGAUGAGGCGGCGAUCCCAGGCCACAAGCAGCAGCUUCAGCACCUGAGCGAGGGGAGGCAGGAGACCAAAGGCAGACAUUCAGUGUUGGUCAGAAACUAUGUCUUGAUGGUGGGGUCUUCCCAAGGGUCCAUGUCUUCUGGCAUCAGGAUGCCCCCAGCGGCACAGUGAAUAGACAGAAUUUGGGGGUGGAGUCAGGGAGCCGCAAGGUAAAGUCUUGGGUCUGUCACCAACUAACUGUGUGACCUUGGGCAUAUUCUGUCCCCUCUCUGGGCCUUAAUUGCCUUACUUACAAAAUGGCAACGCUCUGAUCUGCUAAAUGGUACGAGGGCUUUCAUAGCAGUGCCUGGCACCCACACCUCAACAGAUGUUAGUUAGCUACAGCAGCCUGGCUAAAAGACAGGAUCUAGGAAUUCGAGGCACUCACGAUCCAAGAGCUUCUGAAGCGUGUCCGCCAUUUCCUCCACCGCCCGAAUGCGGCAUUAGUGCACCCUCAGCUAGUGGUGUGGCAGAGCUCUCCGGUGACAUGGUUGAAGUGGGGUGACCUCUGCCAGGCCAUUUCACAUUCAUUUACUCACCUGGUCCACACAACCACACAUGGAGGCAGAUCUGGCGGGGGCUACUAUUGUCUCUAUUUCAUAGGUGAGGCCCAGAGAGGUGUUCGGGCUUGAAGAGUGUUCUCAUUCAGCUAAAUUUUUAAAAAAUGGCCGUGGAGUAAGACAAGGGCCUAACACCCUACCCAGCAUGAAGACGGCCGAUAAAAGCGACCUGGAUUCAAAAAAGAAUGACCGUCGACACGCUAUGGGCUGGAGGUGGGGAACUGUAAGAGUGGUAAUACCAACAUGAAGUAAUGGCACAUGGUAGAGAUACGAUCGACCCUCCCCCGAGGGUUUACUUACUACGUAGCAAGCACUGGGUCACGUACCAGUGACAACAACUCGACAAGACAGGUAUUCUCCUUAUCUCCUUUCUACACACGAAGAAGCUCAGAAGAUAAAGACUUGCCCUGUUCGUCCAGCUAGUACAUGGCAGAGGGCCUAGACUUCAGGACUGCCUGAACUUACAGUCCGUGGUGUGAGUUACUACUCUGUUGACUCUCAGAUGUGGAUCCAUACAGAAUUCAUGGGGGAAGAUGCUUCUGAACUGUCGGAGAGGAGGGGGGAGAUACAGCUGACCCUGAACAACACGAGUUUGAACUGUGCAGGUGCACUACACGUGGUCUUUUUUUUACAGUAUAAUAUAAAAUAUAAUAUAUAUAUAAUACAUAAAAAUAUAAAAUAUAAAUAUUUUCACAGUAUGAUACUUAUGAUUUUCCUAACAAUAUUUUCUUUUGCCUAGCUUA